rfam:Selaginella moellendorffii unplaced genomic scaffold SELMOscaffold_43, whole genome shotgun sequence.
GAAGCUUGUGGUUUGAUGAAGAAACUUACUAAGUUUAGCCAUAGUAAGAAUUAAUACAUUAAGAGCUCUUUCUUGAUUCUAUAGGUGGUAAUUUCUUAGUUGGUGAAGUGAUUUGUUUGGUUAAUUUUAUUAACAAAUUAGACCUCAACCUAGUAACUAGUGUUUCUCCAAGCUAGCUUCUUAGGGAGGCUAUUUACUUUUGGUGGAUAGAAGUUUGAAGCAAUAAUAGAUUUGUGAUGCCCUUAGAUGUUUUGGGCUGCACAUGCAUUAC